CUACAGCUAAGGCAGACCGGCAUGCCCCAGUCAUCUCAGUCGAGUAUCAGUUUGAGCAGCUCACUCUCAAGCACCACCAGGACU
rnacentral:pre_miRNA from 1 species